rnacentral:tRNA from 1 species
GGGCCUUUAGCUGAGUUGGUUACAGCACCCGGCUCAUAACCGGUUGAUCCUGGGUUCGAGUCCCAGAGGGCCCACCA